rnacentral:rRNA from 1 species
GACGAACGCUGGCGGCGUGCUUAACACAUGCAAGUCGAACGAAGAGCGAUGGAAGCUUGCUUCUAUCAAUCUUAGUGGCGAACGGGUGAGUAACGCGUAAUCAACCUGCCCUUCAGAGGGGGACAACAGUUGGAAACGACUGCUAAUACCGCAUACGAUCUAAUCUCGGCAUCGAGGAUAGAUGAAAGGUGGCCUCUACAUGUAAGCUAUCACUGAAGGAGGGGAUUGCGUCUGAUUAGCUAGUUGGAGGGGUAACGGCCCACCAAGGCGAUGAUCAGUAGCCGGUCUGAGAGGAUGAACGGCCACAUUGGGACUGAGACACGGCCUAGACUCCUACGGGAGGCAGCAGUGGGGAAUCUUCCGCAAUGGACGAAAGUCUGACGGAGCAACGCCGCGUGAGUGAUGACGGCCUUCGGGUUGUAAAGCUCUGUUAAUCGGGACGAAAGGCCUUCUUGCGAACAGUUAGAAGGAUUGACGGUACCGGAAUAGAAAGCCACGGCUAACUACGUG